CAGUCGCCGCGGUAAUACGAAGGUCCCGAGCGUUGUUCGGAAUCACUGGGCGUAAAGGGAGCGUAGGCGGCGUGGUAAGUCAGAUGUGAAAUCCCGGGGCUCAACCCCGGAACUGCAUCCGAUACUGCCAUGCUAGAGGAUUGGAGAGGUAGCUGGAAUUCUUGGUGUAGCAGUGAAAUGCGUGGAGAUCAAGAGGAACACUCGUGGCGAAAGCGAGCUACUGGACAAUAACUGACGCUGAGGCUCGAAGGCCAGGGUAGCGAAAGGGAUUAGAUACCCCAGUAGUCCCUGUCUCUUAUAC
rnacentral:rRNA from 1 species